rnacentral:rRNA from 1 species
UACGGGGGGGGCAAGCGUUGUUCGGAAUUACUGGGCGUAAAGGGCUCGUAGGUGGCCAACUAAGUCAGACGUGAAAUCCCUCGGCUUAACCGGGGAACUGCGUCUGAUACUGGAUGGCUUGAGUUUGGGAGAGGGAUGCGGAAUUCCAGGUGUAGCGGUGAAAUGCGUAGAUAUCUGGAGGAACACCGGUGGCGAAGGCGGCAUCCUGGACCAACACUGACACUGAGGCGCGAAAGCUAGGGGAGCAAACGGG